GACGAACGCUGGCGGCGUGCUUAACACAUGCAAGUCGAACGGAAGGGCCCUGCUUUUGUGGGGUGCUCGAGUGGCGAACGGGUGAGUAACACGUGAGUAACCUGCCCUUGACUUUGGGAUAACUUCAGGAAACUGGGGCUAAUACCGGAUAGGAGCUCCUGCUGCAUGGUGGGGGUUGGAAAGUUUCGGCUGUUGGGGAUGGACUCGCGGCUUAUCAGCUUGUUGGUGGGGUAGUGGCUUACCAAGGCUUUGACGGGUAGCCGGCCUGAGAGGGUGACCGGCCACAUUGGGACUGAGAUACGGCCCAGACUCCUACGGGAGGCAGCAGUGGGGAAUAUUGCACAAUGGGCGGAAGCCUGAUGCAGCAACGCCGCGUGCGGGAUGACGGCCUUCGGGUUGUAAACCGCUUUCGCCUGUGACGAAGCGUGAGUGACGGUAAUGGGUAAAGAAGCACCGGCUAACUACGUG
rnacentral:rRNA from 1 species